rnacentral:rRNA from 1 species
UCGGGAAUUUUGGGCAAUGGGCGAAAGCCUGACCCAGCAACGCCGCGUGAAGGAUGAAGUAUUUCGGUAUGUAAACUUCGAAAGGAUAGGAAGAAUAAAUGACGGUACUAUUUAUAAGGUCCGGCUAACUACGUGCCAGCAGCCGCGGUAAUACGUAGGGACCAAGCGUUGUUCGGAUUUACUGGGCGUAAAGGGCGCGUAGGCGGCUUGACAAGUCACUUGUGAAAUCUCUGGGCUUAACCCAGAACGGCCAAGUGAUACUGUCGCGCUAGAGUGCAGAAGGGGCAAUCGGAAUUCUUGGUGUAGCGGUGAAAUGCGUAGAUAUCAAGAGGAACACCUGAGGUGAAGACGGGUUGCUGGGCUGACACUGACGCUGAGGCGCGAAAGCCAGGGGAGCAAACGGGAUUAGAUACCCACGUAGUCCCUGAGCGGGCUGGCAAGGCG